ACUUUCCACAUGCAGGUAGUAAGAAAUCACAGACUUAUUGAGAGCCAUUGUGAUUAGAAGCUUUUGAGAUUCUUUCAUAAAUUAGUAGUACUUUACAGUGUUACAAAGCAUGGUCUCAAAUGAGGAAUGACAAAUAAAUUAGGAUAAUAAAUUGUAGAGUUCUGCUUAUAAACAAUAACAAUAACUUUGGAUAGGCAGUUGUAAAUGAUGAGACAUUGAACUUAAUUGUGUCUCCCAUAGAAGAACUCUGAGAACAUUUACCAGUUUGUUUUACAGUCAUCACAACAGUCCCACUAGAAAUUGCCUAAAGAGGAAUUACUAUCUCCAUUUUACCUGUGGAAAAGCUGAGAAUUCAGAGAUGGACUGACUGAUUCAAGGUCUCAGUGUGAAUCAUCAGAAGAGAAUAAGCGCAUUGAGAAUGAGUAUAAUAUAACACAAAGAUAGAAUGAAGAUGGAAAAUAUGAAAGAAAUUCGGAAAAGAAAAAGCUGAAAGGAAAUUUAUCAGGAUAAAAGAAGUACAGUAACUUCUGGAGGCUGAAAGUCUACAAUCAGACUAAAAACAAGGUGUCAGUUGAGCUCCUUCCUCUGAAGGUCCCAGAGGGGAAUGCAUUCUUUGCUUCUUCCAGC
rnacentral:lncRNA from 1 species